rnacentral:rRNA from 1 species
GAUGAACGCUGACGGAAUGCUUAACACAUGCAAGUACACUUGUGGAGGACGGGUGAGUAACGCGAAAAGAGCUUGCAUCACAGCUAGGGACAACAUUUGGAAACGAAUGCUAAUUCCUGAUACUGUGAUAGGGCUUUGCGUCCCAUUAGCUAGUUGGAGAGGUAACGGAUCACCAAGGCGAUGUUGGGUAGCCGGCCUGCGAGGGUGAUCGGCCACAAGGGGACUGAGAGACAGACCUUAGUCCUACGGGAGGCAGGAGUGGGUAAGAUUGGACAAUGGACCAGAGGCUGAUCCGGCUAUUCUGUUUGAACGAGCAAGUUUUCGGAAGGUAAAUUGCUUUAAGUUAGGAAGCGGUAACAACAGAAGAAGGGACGGCUAAAUACGUGCCAGCCGCCGCGGUAAUAC